UCUAGUGGCGUGGUUGUUUGCGGCGCAUGCUAAGUUGGCGUUGCAGGUUCCGGCACCAGCUUCGGCGUCGUCAUCGGAUGGGCCUAUGAUGCCGAACGAUUCGCAGAAGUUUGUGAAUUCGCUGCAAACGUCGCUUUUCAGUCGCAACAUCCACAUUCCACAGCCCAACGCGACAUGCGACACAAUCCUUUGUUUCUGCGGGAUUCGGCUUCAUCAGAUCACCUCCUUGAUCUGUCCCGCUGCGUUUAAUUUCUUCGCACCAUAACUCCACGCCCACUGCCGCCGUUAGGAACUUGGAGCAGAAUUGCAGAAACUCCUCCUAUUCAGCUUCACUAGGUGCCUUGGAGCCCUCGAGAGGGUUAAUGGGAAGAAUGGGACAGCAGGGGGAGAAAGGAAGAGCAGCGACGAGGACGGUAAUGAGAGAGCAAGGAAGAUGUUUUGCAGGGACUGCCAACUCAUGGGGCUGACAUGGCUGUUGGCAAGGAACAAAACGGUGUACAUACCAACGGUGUCAGCAGUGCUGAGGGCUAUGAUGUACAGUGCGCACCCUCCACACCA